rnacentral:rRNA from 1 species
AUACGGAGGGUGCGAGCGUUAAUCGGAAUUACUGGGCGUAAAGGGUGCGUAGGCGGCUUGAUAAGUCGGAUGGGAAAGCCCCGGGCUUAACCUGGGAAUUGCAUUCGAUACUGUCAGGCUAGAGUAUGUCAGAGGUUGGCGGAAUUCCUGGUGUAGCGGUGAAAUGCGUAGAUAUCAGGAGGAACACCAGUGGCGAAGGCGGCUAACUGGGGCAAUACUGACGCUGAGGCACGAAAGCGUGGGGAGCAAACAGGAUUAGAAACCCUAGUAGUCC